rnacentral:rRNA from 1 species
GAUGAACGCUGGCGGCGUGCCUAAUACAUGCAAGUCGAGCGAACAGACGAGGAGCUAGCUCCUCUGACGUUAGCGGCGGACGGGUGAGUAACACGUGGAUAACCUACCUAUAAGACUGGGAUAACUUCGGGAAACCGGAGCUAAUACCGGAUAACAUGUUGAACCGCAUGGUUCAACAGUGAAAGACGGUCUUGCUGUCACUUAUAGAUGGAUCCGCGCCGCAUUAGCUAGUUGGUAAGGUAACGGCUUACCAAGGCAACGAUGCGUAGCCGACCUGAGAGGGUGAUCGGCCACACUGGAACUGAGACACGGUCCAGACUCCUACGGGAGGCAGCAGUAGGGAAUCUUCCGCAAUGGGCGAAAUCCUGACGGAGCAACGCCGCGUGAGUGAAGAAGGUCUUCGGAUCGUAAAACUCUGUUAUUAGGGAAGAACAAAUGUGUAAGUAACUAUGCACGUCUUGACGGUACCUAAUCAGAAAGCCACGGCUAACUACGUG